AUAUCUCUCCGUACGGGAAGGAUGAGAAGCUUCGACUAAGGUUCGAUUCGAGCGUCAGCGAGAAAGCGUU
rnacentral:sRNA from 1 species